rnacentral:rRNA from 1 species
CCUACGGGUGGCAGCAGUGGGGAAUAUUGCACAAUGGGGGAAACCCUGAUGCAGCGACGCCGCGUGAGUGAAGAAGUAUUUCGGUAUGUAAAGCUCUAUCAGCAGGGAAGAAAAUGACGGUACCUGACUAAGAAGCCCCGGCUAACUACGUGCCAGCAGCCGCGGUAAUACGUAGGGGGCAAGCGUUAUCCGGAUUUACGGGGGGUAAAGGGAGCGUAGGCGGCUGUGCAAGUCUGAAGUGAAAGCCCGGGGCUUAACCCCGGAACUGCUUUGGAAACUGUGGAGCUAGAGUGCAGGAGAGGUAAGUGGAAUUCCUAGUGUAGCGGUGAAAUGCGUAGAUAUUAGGAGGAACACCAGUGGCGAAGGCGGCUUACUGGACUGUAACUGACGCUGAGGCUCGAAAGCGUGGGGAGCAAACAGGAUUAGAUACCCGGGUAGUC